AGACUGGGGGCGACGUGCUGGUGGUGGACUUCCCAGAGCAAGACCACUGGCACUGCCGGGCCCAUGAGAUGGACUUGGCCCCACCGGGCCACACUGACGUAUCCUGCUCUGAGUGUGGGGCCUGGCCCCUCUAUGGAGCGCGGUUCAAGUGCAAGGUGUGCGCACAGUUCAACUACUGCGAGGACUGCUUCUACACGCGCCGCACGCACCAGCACCUCUUCUACAGGAUCGCUGAGCCCGGAUCAGCUGCCGUGUACGCGGGCCACGC
rnacentral:lncRNA from 1 species